AUUUUUUAAAAUAGAAAUGGAGUAAAUGAUAAAAUGUAGACUGAAUUUAUCAUAAAGACAUUCCCUUUUGGUAUAUUGCAAGGAACUAUGAACUUUUAGUAACUACUAUAAGCAACUGACAGGAAAAAAUGGCAACAGAAGAAUGAAAGAGGAGAGAAUGGGGAGCAGACACUAAGGUGUAGUGAAAGGAGGAAAAUGAAGGCUAAGUCUAAUGAUGUGAAUCCUAUUUGCAAUUCCAUCAAAGGAGGGAACUUCCUACUGACCGGAAGACCUGAACAGCCUGAGCCCUUUCAACUCCGAGAGAAGAAGCUGCAGAUGAAGAGCAAUCCUGGGAUACAUGUGCAGAAUGUGCAAGUUUGUUACAUAGGUACGCACGUACCAUGGUGGUUUGCUGCACCCAUCAACUCGUCAUCUACAUUAGGAUACUGUUUACUGAAAACCCAUCAAUCUGAUCUUUUAUGAGAAGCUAGUCCCUGAAAAGGCCCUUGGACCAAAAAGUCGAAAACUCAAAGCACAGAGUGGGAUGUCAGAUGCCAAGAUUCAAAUCUAGUCAUUUGAUUCCAGAGCCCACAUUCUUAAAUAAUAUGCUACACUGAACUUUAUUAUCUUUAAACAUUAUCUUUAUUUAAUGUGUUCCACAGAAAUUACUUCUCAGGUAUUCCUAAUUUUAUUUUCAAAAAUAAUAAGGUCAUGCUAUCAGUAUAAUAUAGUUUUUUAAAUUAACUUGAGAGGUAAUGUAGUAUGAUCAACUUCGUUAAUGGCCUUUUAAACUAGAAAUAAUUAUUAAAUAUUUUUAAUAUUAUAAAUUAACAGGCAAAAUGGUGAAAAAUCUAACAUCUGGUUCUUAAAAGUAAGUUGAAAUAUAAGAUCAGAUCUGAAUGCAAACGGAAAAAUAGAAAUGGCAAAUAAUGCCAUAUUUGAAGAUCUUUUAGUAUUCUCUGGUAUUUUUCCCUUCAUUUCAAAAUUGUUAUAUUCUUUUUAAUGACUUCAGAUGAAUUAGGAAAUGUCAGGCUUCUAAAAAUCAAACAGAACGUCCAACCAGUAGAUUUCAUUCAGGGCAGUGGGAGCCUGUUCGGUUGUUUCCUCUUUCUCCCUCACUUUUAAAAAUCCUCAAUCACUGCCAUUUCUCUUCUCAGCUUUCACAACACUUUAGAGGCAGCUAAAUGAAAGGGCAGAAGCUUCCUCUGAAACUCCUGUUAUUUCAGCUCUAAAAUCAGCUGAAAAGGAUGCCCUCCCCAGAGACAGAAAUGCAUUCCUUCCAUCAUGAACCUGCAAUGCCCUCAGGUUGUGGCAAGGGAGAAGUUUAGCACUUGAACCUAGAUAAUGCUAUUUUUUUAAUCAAAGUCCACCAUUCUUGUUUCAUAUGGCCUGUGGCACAAUUUAUUUAAAACAAUAUGGUGCAUCAAAGAAGGUAAACAAUAAUAACAAUAAUAAUAAUAAUAAUAUAGGAAUAGCAAUGUGCACAUAAAUAAUAUAGGAAAACACAUGGCCUCAGUACCUUCAUGAAAUGGGACUUCAAUAUACAUAUUUCUUAUACAGCUUUAUGCAUGACUUCAUUUCUAUGGUUUGCACUUCACUGCUCUGUUGUGUCACUCUACCAAUAAGCCUAUACAUCAUACUGAGUGAAAUAUGUUCACAGUCGCUUUACUUGACCAAAAAAAAAAAAAGAAAGAAGAA
rnacentral:lncRNA from 1 species